GUGUCAGCAGCCGCGGUAAGACGAAGGAUCCAAGCGUUGUCCGGAUUUACUGGGUUUAAAGGAUGCGUAGGCGGACACUUAAGCCAGUGGUGAAAUCCCAUAGCUCAACUAUGGAACUGCCAUUGGAACUGUGUGUCUUGAAUUCGGUUGAGGUAGAUGGAAUAUAACAUGUAGCGGUGAAAUGCUUAGAUAUGUUAUAGAACACCGAUUGCGAAGGCAGUCUACUAAGCCGACAUUGACGCUGAGGCAUGAAAGCGUGGGGAGCGAACAGGAUUAGAUACCCUGGUAGUCCACGCCCUAAACGUUGAUUACUCGCUGUUAGCGAUAUACUGUUAGCGGCUAAGCGAAAGCGUUAAGUAAUCCACCUGGGAAGUACGAUCGCAAGAUUGAAACUUAAAUGAAUUGACGGGG
rnacentral:rRNA from 1 species